CAAUAGCGUAUAUUUAAGUUGUUGCAGUUAAAAAGCUCGUAGUUGGAUUUCGGAUGGGAUUUGCCGGUCCGUCGUUACGAUGUGCACUGGCCAGUCCUAUCUUGUUGUCGGGGACUAGCUCCUUGGAUUCACUUCCUGGGACUAGGAGCUGACGAGGUUACUUUGAGUAAAUUAGAGUGUUCAAAGCAAGCCUACGCUCUGAAUACAUUAGCAUGGAAUAACACGAUAGGACUCUGGCUUAUCUUGUUGGUCUGUGAGACCAGAGUAAUGAUUAAGAGGGACAGUCGGGGGCAUUCGUAUUUCAUUGUCAGAGGUGAAAUUCCUGGAUUUAUGAAAGACGAACUUCUGCGAAAGCAUUUGUCAAGGAUGUUUUCAUUAA
rnacentral:rRNA from 1 species